GAUGAAGAACGUAGCGAAAUGCGAUACGUAAUGUGAAUUGCAGAUCUCUCAGUGAAUCAUCGAAUCUUUGAACGCACAUUGCACCCGGUGGUAUUCCGCCGGGUAUGCCUGUCUGAGCGUCAUUUCUACCCUCAAGCCUCGCUUGGUGUUGGCGGAUUGCCCCCUGUGGCAACCGCUGAAAUUGAAUGGCGGUAGCACACUUGUCCCCUGUACAGUACAAUUCUUACAGCGGUCACGUGGAUUCACCAGCCCCACACCCCAAGAAAUAGCAAGUUGACCUCAGAUCAGGUAGGAAUACCCGCUGAACUUAAGCAUAUCAAUAAGCGGAGGA
rnacentral:misc_RNA from 1 species